GUGUCAGCAGCCGCGGUAAUACGUAGGAUCCGAGCGUUGUCCGGAUUUACUGGGUGUAAAGGGUGCGCAGGCGGACUGGUAAGUCAGUGGUGAAAUCUCGUCGCUUAACGACGAAACUGCCUUUGAUACUAUCAGUCUUGAAUCCGGUAGAGAUCUGUGGAAUUCCGAGUGUAGCAGUGAAAUGUGUAGAUAUUCGGAAGAACACCAGUGGCGAAGGCAGCAGAUUGGGCCGGUAUUGACGCUCAGGCACGAAAGCAUGGGGAUCAAACAGGAUUAGAUACCCUGGUAGUCC
rnacentral:rRNA from 1 species